rnacentral:rRNA from 1 species
AGGUAGUAACAACCAUUUGAGUCUGGGAUUUCUGAAUGGGGAAACCCACUUACAUAAGUAAGUAUCAUUAACUGAAUACAUAGGUUAAUGAGGCGAACCGGGGGAACUGAAACAUCUAAGUACCCCGAGGAAAAGAAAUCAACCGAGAUUCCGAAAGUAGCGGCGAGCGAAAUUGGACUAGCCCUUAAGCUUUACACGCGUUAGACGAACGGUCUGGAAAGUCCGACGAUACAGGGUGAUAGUCCCGUAGUUGACGACGUGUGUUCAGUGAAAUCGAGUAGGGCGGGACACGUGAUAUCCUGUCUGAAUAUGGGGGGACCAUCCUCCAAGGCUAAAUACUACUGACUGACCGAUAGUGAACCAGUACCGUG